rnacentral:ncRNA from 2 species
AACUGAAUAACGGAUACAGGUGCCUGCCGGAUGCCAAGGCAUACCGGAUGGCUUAAUAGGGAAGUUCGGUGUAAGACCGACGCGGUCCCGCCACUGUAACGGAAGAGUCUUCAGCAACAUUCGUCACUGGCAGCAUGUGCUGUUCGGGAAGACGGCUGAAGAUGUAGACGCCGCAGCCAGGAGACCUGCCUGUUUCGACAGCACAGC